rnacentral:lncRNA from 1 species
CGGCUCCAGGGACCGGCUCCGACUGCUGCAGUUCGGGCCUUAUUUUAGGGUGAAGCCCGGGCACCCGACCCGGCUGCGCUGUAGUGGGAGGCCACGGCGAUUAUCCAGGUGAAGCUCUUCCAGCCCAGCCCUGGAAGGUGGAAGAAGAAAAGUUGACGUGGAAUGUUUAGGAAGCGCUGUUGGUCCAGGUCCAGGAUCGGGGCAGCCAGCAUGUCCUCUAAUCUGGCUUCACUGUUGAAAUCCAGUCGAGCACACAGGGCCCAAACCACUGCGAGACCAGCUCGGUUCGGCCCAAACCACUGCCCACUGCGAGACCAGCUCGGUCGGGCCCAAACCACUGCAAGACCAGCUCGGUUGGGCCCAAACCACUGCCCACUGCCGAGACCACCUCGGUCGGGCCCAAACCACUGCCCACUGCUGAGACCAGCUCGGUCGGGCCCAAACCACUGCCCACUGCGAGAUCAGCUCGGUCGUGGAGACCCUAACCCAGUGGCACUAGAGGAAUUAAAGAUACACACACAGAAAUAUAGGUAUCUCUCAAGGGUUUUUUGCAUGUCUGAUACCUACGGCUCCAACAGGACCCACUGACUGAUGAUGGCUCCACCUGGACCUGCCAACUACUCCUGUAGCCCCAUCCAGAAGUGAUUCAGCACACGGGAGGACCCUGUCUCACACCCUACGAUGGCCCCCGGCCCCCGCAACCCAUCAGCAGCAAGCACCCACUGCCUAGCUACCCCACCCCUUCCCCCAAACU